GUUGAGGGUUUUAGGGUUUCACCGAUCGAAUUAGGAGGCAUUAACAGAAGCAUUACAAAUGAAUAUGGGCUGCCUGCUGCUGGCUUCUGCCUUCGGCAUGUAAUACUUUGUUACUAUGCUCUGCCUUGCUUCAUCUUGCUUGAAUACUAGUUUCACGUUCCAACAAGGGGAACUGGGGAAGGGGAUGUUAACCGUGAUUUCACAUUUUUCUUCAUUUCAUUCUAUUUCCCCACUACUAUCGACUUUCACUAAUAAACUAGUUAAAAUCCGCUCUUUCUUUCUCAGGCGGAGCAUACUUUUAAUAACAACAGACACCGAGGAGACAUGGAAAGCGUUGGAAUCUGUUUUCCCUUAACACCUGUUUGCUUCAUCUCUAGGUUAUUUGAAAUUUGGAUUUAACAGAGAAGAAGGUGGACAUUGUAUACCGUGAAUGAGCUUUAAUGGAUGGGAUCUCCAGUUCAGCCAUUCCUCACAAUGCAAGCAUGGAGAUGGAGUUUGGGUUGAUCGCAUCCCUGCUUGGAUUCAAUAUGCCUGCCACCGUGGACCCAGCAAGGUUCGCAGCACCAUAUGAAUUAUGAUGGUGUCUACUAGGAUCCACUAUCAUCAGAAUUCAGAAAGGUUUAUCAUCGAGGAGAUGACGGUGAGGAGGCAGACAUGAACAUUAGAGCAAGUUGUGGUUGGGCAGGAGAACUUUGAAGAACGAACUGGGUUCCGUGAAUCAUGAGUGACAAUGCUGUUGGUCAAGAGCACAAGAGAGUGUGACCAAGGGUCGUCGGAAGACUGACAUUUUUUGCUCUCUGUACAUAUAAUAUGUGGCCUGUGUCUGUGCCUGUGCCUGUGAAUAAAUAUUAAUAAUCGCAUUUCUUUGUAUCAGUGUUAAACGCUCCGUAGAAGUUUGUACGACUUGCAGAUGCAGAUGAAGUUGCAGACUAGAAUGCGUAUAUACAUGAAAAUAAACAAAUUUCCAUAUA